AAAAGAAAAACAUUUGACAAAAUUGUAGCUUGUGGGUGUACAUAAUCUAGUUUCCAGCUAGUUCUUUUCUUUCCUUUCUUCCACCAAACACAACCCCCGCACACCCCUCCUUUUCUUACCUUUAUCACUUUGACAUUGUCUUUUUUCCAAGAAAAUAAAAUUUCUCAGAGAUUUUUAGAUUUAGCAUCUGGGGCAUCAAUAUCUUUAAUUUUAACUUGUUGUUAUUAGGGUGUUUUGUUCUUGCUCAAAAGGGGUACCUUUUUUGGGCUUUUGCAUCAUUCAUUUUGGUAAUUCUUGAAAGGGGUUGUAGCAAGUAAGCUGUACUUUCUUGAUUCUUCAGUUUCUUGCUGAAAAGUCAUAGUAAUUGGUAGUAGUUGCUUAAUCAAGAACACAAAUUUGGACUUGAUUUUGCUUCAAGAAAUGGUUAUAGAAAGGUAUUUAUUUAGAUAAAUUUUCUUAGUUGGGUGUUUUUUAACACAUCAAGAAAGGUUAAAAUAGUUGAUUCAGUUUUGAGGAGCUACAAAAAUGAAGGAUUUUGCUGGCACACCUGGUACUUUAACUGGGCUUUUGUUGAGAUUGGCUCAGUGUUUUUUUGCUGCUGGUGCAAUUGCUUCAAUGGUUACUUCUAAAGGUUUCUUCAAUGUCACAGCUUUUUGCUACUUGAUAGCCUCGAUGGCUUUGCAAGUCAUCUGGAGCAUCGGACUUGCCUUCGUAGAUGCCUAUUUCCUGGCAAAGAAGAAGGCUUUCCAGAGUCAUGUUUUACUGAGCCUCUUUGUAGUUGGAGAUUGGUGCACUGGAAUGCUAUCGCUUGCUGCAGCUGCUUCUUCAGCUGGCAUAACAGUGUUGUACUUUUAUGAUAUGGGAGGUUGCAGUUUCGGCCAGGAAUGCACCAAGUUCCAAUUCUCGGUUGGAUUUGCUUUCCUCAGUUGGAUAACAAUUUUUAUAUCUUCUCUAAUUAUGUUUUGGAUAUGGGCUGCCGGUUAAACGAUUCUGCAGGCUGGCUGAUUCUCUUGCCACGGUGUUUUCAUUACUGUCGAAUUUUGAAGAAAUAGGAAAAAAAAAAAAAAUAGGAUUAAGAAAAUGUUUAUUUUACACUUUACACUAGUACUCUAGAAUAUUUCUUUUCCUUUCCUCGUCCGUACAGAAGAAACUUAAUUUUUCACUUGAAGUUAAUUGAGGAAGGUCUUUUUGUCCUGCUGACUUUUACUCAACAAUAUUCAUGGAUCAUGGUUAUGUUAUUUGCCUUUGUAACUA